rnacentral:rRNA from 1 species
UACGGGGGGGGCGAGCGUUGUUCGGAAUUACUGGGCGUAAAGCGUGCGCAGGCGGUUGUGCAAGACAGAUGUGAAAUCCCCGGGCUCAACCUGGGAACUGCAUUUGUGACUGCACGGCUGGAGUGCGGCAGAGGGGGAUGGAAUUCCGCGUGUAGCAGUGAAAUGCGUAGAUAUGCGGAGGAACACCGAUGGCGAAGGCAAUCCCCUGGGCCUGCACUGACGCUCAUGCACGAAAGCGUGGGGAGCAAACAGG